rnacentral:rRNA from 1 species
GACGAACGCUGGCGGCGUGCUUAACACAUGCAAGUCGAACGGAAAGGCCCUGCUUGCUGGCUACUCGAGUGGCGAACGGGUGAGUAACACGUGGGUGAUCUGCCCUGCACUUCGUGAUAAGCCUGGGCAACUGGGUCCAUUACCGGAUAGGAGCCAUUUCUAGCGUGAUGGUUGGAAAGUUUUUUGGGUGUAGGGUGAGCUCGCGGCCUAUUGGCUUGUUGGUGGGGUGAUGGCCUACCAAGGCGGCGACGGGUAGCCGGACUGAGGGGGUGGGAGGCCGCAUUGAGUCUGAGGUGCGGCACAGACGGCGACGGGAGGCAGCAGUGGGGAAGAUUGCACAAUGGGCGCCGGCCUGGUGCAGCGGGGCCGCGUGGGGGAUGACGGCCUUGGGGGUGUAGAAUAGUUUCGGGAGGAACGAAGGUUUUUGUGACGGUACCUAGAGAAGAAGCACCGGCUAACUACGUG